rnacentral:rRNA from 1 species
CAGGCCUAACACAUGCAAGUCGAACGGAGCCGCAAGGCUUAGUGGCAAACGGGUGCGUAACGCGUAAGCAACCUGCCCGCAACUGGGGGAUAGCCCGGCGAAAGCGAGGGUAAACCCGCAUGGUCUGAUGGAGUCACCUGGCUUUAUCAGUAAACAGCGAUGGGUUAAAGAGGGGCUUGCGUCGGAUUAGCUAGUUGGCGGGGUAAGGGCCCACCAAGGCGAUGAUCCGUCGGGGUUCUGAGAGGAUUGGCCCCCACAUGGGUACUGAGAGACGGACCCAACUCCUACGGGAGGCAGCAGUAGGGAAUAUUGGGCAAUGGAGGCAACUCUGACCCAGCCAUGCCGCGUGCAGGAUGAAGGCGCUCAGCGUUGUAAACUGCUUUUAUCUGGGAAGAACAGCAGGGAUGCGUCCUUGUGUGACGGUACCAGAGGAAUAAGCACCGGCUAACUCCGUGCCAGCAGCCGCGGUAAU